rnacentral:rRNA from 1 species
UACGUAGGGGGCAAGCGUUGUCCGGAAUCAUUGGGCGUAAAGCGCGCGUAGGCGGCCAGAAAAGUCCGCUGUGAAAACUCGAGGCUCAACUUCGAGCUGUCGGUGGAAACUUUCUGGCUAGAGCACGGUAGAGGAGGAUGGAAUUCCUGGUGUAGCGGUGAAAUGCGCAGAUAUCAGGAAGAACACCCGUGGCGAAGGCGGUUGUCUGGGGCGGUACUGACGCUGAGACGCGAAAGCGUGGGGAGCGAACAGG